AUGCACGCUGGCGGCGUGCCUAAUACAUGCAAGUCGAGCGAACGGACGAGAAGCUUGCUUCUCUGAUGUUAGCGGCGGACGGGUGAGUAACACGUGGAUAACCUACCUAUAAGACUGGGAUAACUUCGGGAAACCGGAGCUAAUACCGGAUAAUAUUUUGAACCGCAUGGUUCAAAAGUGAAAGACGGUCUUGCUGUCACUUAUAGAUGGACCCGCGCUGCAUUAGCUAGUUGGUAAGGUAACGGCUUACCAAGGCAACGAUGCAUAGCCGACCUGAGAGGGUGAUCGGCCACACUGGAACUGAGACGCGGUCAAGGGUACUACGGGAGGCAGCAGUAGGGAAUCUUACGCAAUGGGCGAAAGCCUGACGGAGCAACGCCGCGUGAGUGAUGAAGGUCUUCGGAUCGUAAAACUCUGUUAUAAGGGAAGAACAUAUGUGUAAGUAACUGUGCACAGCUUGACGGUACCUAAUCAGAAAGCCACGGCUAACUACGUG
rnacentral:rRNA from 1 species